rnacentral:rRNA from 1 species
AGGUCCCCAAGACAUAGUUAAGUGGAAAACGAAGUGGGAAGGCUAAAACAGUCAGGAUGUUGGCUUAGAAGCAGCCAUCAUUUAAAGAAAGCGUAAUAGCUCACUGAUCGAGUCGUCCUGCGCGGAAGAUGUAACGGGGCUAAGCCAGUUACCGAAGCUGCGGAUGUGCGCGCAAGCGUACGUGGUAGGAGAGCGUUCUGUACGCCUGUGAAGGUGGCUUGUGAAGGCUGCUGGAGGUAUCAGAAGUGCGAAUGCUGACAUGAGUAGCGUUAAAGGGGGUGAAAAGCCCCCUCGCCGAAAGCGCAAGGUUUCCUACGCAACGUUCAUCGGCGUAGGGUGAGUCGGCCCCUAAGGCGAGGCAGAGAUGCGUAGCUGAUGGGAAACAGGUCAAUAUUCCUGUACCGAUGUCUAGUGCGAUGUGGGGACGGAGAAGGUUAGCUCAGCCGGGUGUUGGAUGUCCCGGUUCAAGCAUGUAGGCGUGCCCUCUAGGCAAAUCCGGAGGGCUUAGCUGAGAUGUGAUAACGAGGCGGCUUGCCGCCGAAGUGAGUGAUACCCUGCUUCCAGGAAAAGCCACUAAGCUUCAGCUAGACACGACCGUACCGCAAACCGACACUGGUGCGCGAGAUGAGUAUUCUAAGGCGCUUGAGAGAACUCUGGAGAAGGAACUCGGCAAAUUGACACCGUAACUUCGGAAGAAGGUGUGCCUUUAGUAGGUGAUCCCGUACAGGGGGAGCCCAAUGAGGCCGCAGAGAAUCGGUGGCUGCGACUGUUUAUUAAAAACACAGCACUCUGCAAAGACGAAAGUCGACGUAUAGGGUGUGACGCCUGCCCGGUGCUGGAAGAUUAAAUGAUGGGGUGCAAGCUCUUGACUGAAGUCCCAGUAAACGGCGGCCGUAACUAUAACGGUCCUAAGGUAGCGAAAUUCCUUGUCGGGUAAGUUCCGACCUGCACGAAUGGCGUAACGAUCAUCCCCGCUGUCUCGACCAGGGACUCAGCGAAAUUGAAUUGCCAGUGAAGAUGC